AAGAAAAAUACUGCUAAAUGACUGAUAGAUUCAGCUGAUAAAAUGGAAGUUUUGAUGAAAAAGUAAACCAAACGCGGAGGUUCAGUUAACAACAGUAGUAUUAGCCACAAAACCACGAGAAUCAGAGAGGCAAGUAACCACAUCAGAUGGUUCUGUUGGAGGUGACAAGAGAAGCUGAAUUCAGAACUUCACGAGUUGUACUAGAGAAAUCCAGCUUUUAUUAGCUGCCAAGUUUCCAAUAAAAUCUUUUACUGUACCACACAAGCUGGAACAACAGUGAAAGCAACAUUCUGGAUUUGAAGCAGGAGAGAAGACAAAUUCAUAACGAGGAAGAAAGACAAAAGGGAGCAAAAGGCCCUCACCGUCAAAACUUUUGCAGAGUAAUCUACGAAAGUUUUUGUUUGCCCUUGCUGUUCUAGUUUCUGGGCCCUACAUAAAUACAUCAGCCUUUUGAAAAUCCAAAGGUUGUGGACCCAAUUUAGAGUACUCCCAAGCC
rnacentral:lncRNA from 1 species